CCGGUGACGUCAGAGGAAGUGGAGCCACCGCGGAGGUAGAACCGGAAGUCUUCUCCGGGCGCCAGGGGGUGGGGUUUGCGCGAUCAAGUAAGGGUUUUUCGUUUGGUUCCUAUUUUUCUCGUUUGUCUCUAAAAUAUUUCUAAAAUUUAGGAGAGCAGAGGAAAGGGUGAGAAGGAAAGAUCAGGAAGGAAGGAAGAGACGUUAAGUGUUGGGGAAAUCGUGCUUGUGUAAAUGUGGAAGACAAGAAGCCAGGUGUAACCGAGGACAAGAAUCACCUCCCCUAGUCAGACAUCAUCCAAAGAAUCCCAGGCGCAGCGUCCAGCGACCUCACCUUGAGCUGAUCCAGCCGAGUUGUCAUCCCCUCGGGAACACUCUGCUGCCACACUUCCUGAAACUCAGCGAGGUUAAACUUCACGGCAUUCUGCAGCAGCAUCUCCGCGGUCGCUCUACAUACUUUGUCAGCAUUCAAUUCAAAAUAGACUUCACCUAAGGAAAUGGUCAGACAUCGUCGGCUACGUGGCAUUUACUGAGGUACUGUUUGAGUGUAUGUACAUGUGUGGGCUUGCGUGUGCCCUCAAAUGACAAUGAUCAGGAGUCACCUCGUAGCAAGGCUAAAGCUCAGGUCACCGGGCAGGCUUGGCUCAGCCAUCUCACUGCCACUGUAUUAGCUUCUUAUUAUGGUUUGUAUAUGCUCGGCUCAGAGAGCGGCACUAUUAGAAGGAAGGUGUGCUCUUGGUGGAGUAGGUGCGCCCCCUGGGUAUGGGCUUUAAGACCCUCAUCCUAGCUGCCUGGGAGCCAGUAUUCUGCUAGCAGCUUCCAGAUGAAGAUGUAGAACUCUCAGCUCCUCCUGCCUAGACGCUGCCAUGUUCCCACCUUGAUGAUAAUGGACUGAACCUCUGAACCUGUAAGCCAGCCCCAAUUAAAUGUUGUCCUUGUGAGA